AAAAAAAAUGCAAUACCUGUUGUUUUUUUGAUUUUAUAUAUAUCAGAAGUUGAUUGUAUGUAUCAACUUGAAGACAAUUUUUUUAUAUAAAUAAAACUAAAUAUUAUAAAUCAGUGAGACACUCAUUUUAUAUUUUUUCUUAAUAUGUUAAAAGCUUAAAAUUUCUGUAUUGUAAUUUUUAAGUUUCAAGGGCAGAUUAAUGUGUUGCGUAACCUGUAAUUGGACUUUUGUUGGCUAUGCAUUCAUACGUAUAAUUUUCAUAGCCUCGUAAUUCUCAUUUUUUCAGCUUUGAAUUUCGCACACAUUUACAUGUACUUGUUUAAUGUUGAGAAAUGAUAAAAUGUUUUAUGAAUACUUAGUGUGACAGCUAACGAAGUUCUAAACUUCUGAUAACUGAACUUUACUCAUUAACAUUAUGUAAAGUAAUCAGAUUGAUUGAUGUAUGAGAAGAAAUAAUUAAAGGUAGCUUUUCUGUGGACAGUAUAUUGAUAUAAAGAUAUACAUUACAGUAUCGACUUUGUGAUUUUGUAAUAAUUUAGAUUGCAUACUUUUCCAAAUUCCAAGCAGUUGAAGUUCAUCAAUUCUAUUAUUUGAUAAAUUUGAAAAUAAAUUUGUAAAGAU
rnacentral:misc_RNA from 1 species